AGCGAGGCAAUGAUCCUUUCUCCACAUGAUCAAUUAUGAUUAUGCUUGCAUUUUCCAUUUUUUUGGUUCUCUGUUUGAAGAAAAAUCAAGCCAGAGAUUCUGAUCCUU